rnacentral:rRNA from 1 species
GCUAACUUCGUGCCAGCAGCCGCGGUAAUACGAAGGGACCUAGCGUAAUUCGGAAUUACUGGGCGUAAAGCGCGCGUAGGCGGUUAAGUAAGUUAAUUGUGAAAGCCCAAAGCUCAACUUUGGAAUUGCAAUUAAAACUACUUAGCUAGAGUUUAUCAGAGGAAAGCGGAAUACAUAGUGUAGAGGUGAAAUUCGUAGAUAUUAUGUAGAACACCAGUUGCGAAGGCGGCUUUCUGGGGUAACACUGACGCUGAGGUGCGAAAGUAUGGGUAGCGAAGAGGAUUAGAUACCCUCGUAGUCCAUACUGUAAACGAUGAUUGUUAGAUGUUGGAAAUUUAUUUUCAGUAUCACAGCUAACGCGUUAAACAAUCCGCCUGGGGAGUACGACCGCAAGGUUAAAACUCAAAUGAAUUGACGGGGACCCGCACAAGCGGUGGAGCAUGUGGUUUAAUUCGAAGCUACGCGCAGAACCUUACCAACACUUGACAUGUCUGUCGCGGAUUCCAGAGAUGGAUUCCUUCGGUUCGGCCGGACAGAACACAGGUGCUGCAUGGCUGUCGUCAGCUCGUGUCGUGAGAUGUUGGGUUAAGUCCCGCAACGAGCGCAACCCCUACUUCUAGUUGCCAUCAGGUUAAGCUGGGCACUCUAGUAGGACUGCCUGUGAUAAGCAGGAGGAAGGUUGGGAUGACGUCAAGUCCUCAUGGCCCUUACGUGUUGGGCUACACACGUGCUACAAUGGCAGUGACAAUGAGAUGCUAAACGGCAACGUUAAGCUAAACUCAAAAACCUGCCUCAGUUCGGAUUGCACUCUGCAACUCGAGUGCAUGAAGCUGGA